rnacentral:snRNA from 1 species
GUGCUCGCUUCAGCAGCACAUAUACUAAAAUUGGAAUGAUACAGAGAAGAUUAGCAUGGCCCCUGCACAAGGGGCCAAUUUGUGAAGUGUUCCAUAUUUCA